rnacentral:rRNA from 1 species
GACGAACCGUCCAAACGUUAUUCGGAAUUACUGGGCUUAAAGGGUGCGUAGGCGGCCUGCUAAGUCGAACGUGAAAUCCCCGAGCUCAACUCGGGAACUGCGUCCGAUACUGACAGGCUUGAAUCCGGGAGAGGGAUGCGGAAUUCCAGGUGUAGCGGUGAAAUGCGUAGAGAUGUGGAGGAACACCGAUGGCGAAGGCAGCCCCCUGGGUCAAGAUUGACGCUCAUGCACGAAAGCGUGGGGAGCAAACAGG